rnacentral:rRNA from 1 species
GACGAACCGUGCGAACGUUAUUCGGAAUCACUGGGCUUAAAGCGCGUGUAGGCGGGCCGGCACGUCCGUGGCUGAAAGCCCCCGGCUCAACCGGGGAAGGGGCGCGGAUCACGACCGGCCUGGAGGGGGGUAGGGGGACCUGGAACUUCCGGUGGAGGCGGUGAAAUGCGUUGAGAUCGGAAGGAACGCCCGUGGCGAAAGCGAGGUCCUGGACCCUUUCUGACGCUGAGACGCGAAAGCCAGGGGAGCGAACGGG